rnacentral:tRNA from 1 species
GGCUUUGUAGCUUAGUUGGUUAAAGCGCCUGUCUAGUAAACAGGAGAUCCUGGGUCCAAAUCCCAGCAGUGCCU